UGUGCCUACGGGAGGCAGCAGUGAGGAAUAUUGGUCAAUGGGCGCAAGCCUGAACCAGCCAAGUCGCGUGAGGGAAGACGGCCCUACGGGUUGUAAACCUCUUUUGCCGGGGAGCAAGCCUGAGCACGUGUGCCCAGGCGGAGAGUACCCGGAGAAAAAGCCACGGCUAACUACGUGCCAGCAGCCGCGGUAAUACGUAGGUGGCAAGCGUUAUCCGGAUUUAUUGGGCGUAAAGGGAACGCAGGCGGUCUUUUAAGUCUGAUGUGAAAGCCUUCGGCUUAACCGGAGUAGUGCAUUGGAAACUG
rnacentral:rRNA from 1 species